GCCCUGAUAACUCAGUCGGUAGAGCGUUAGGCUUUUAACCUAACUAUCCAGGGUUCGAGUCCCUGUUCAGGCA
rnacentral:tRNA from 1 species